ACGUGAGCCCAAGAGUUGGAGACCAGCCCUGGGCAACAUAGCGAAACUCUUGUCUCUACAAAAAAUUUAAAAACUAGGCAGACGUUGGCCCGGCGUGGUAGGUCACGCCUGUAAUCCCAGCACUUUGGGAGGCCGAGGCGGGCGGAUUGCCUGAGGUCAGGAGUUCGAGAUCCGCCCGGCCAACCUGGUGAAACCCCGUCUCUACUAAAAAUACAAAAAUUAGCUGGGCGUGGUGGCAGGCCCCUGUAGUCCCAGCUACUCGGGAGGCUGAGGCAGGAGAAUGGCUUGAACCCGGGAGGCGGAGGUUGCAGUGAGCCGAGAUCGCACCAUUGCACUCCAACCUGGGCGACAGAACGAGACUCCGUAUCAAAAAAAAAAAAAAAAAAAUUGGACGUGGUAGCGCGCGCCUGUGGUCUCAGCUACUCGGGAGACUGAGAUGGGAGGAUCGCUUGAACCCAGGAGGUCGUGGCUAUAGUGAGUCGUGAUCGCGCCACUGCACUCCAGGAUGGGUGACAGAGUGGUACCCUGUCUCAAGAAAAUGUAGAGACGGGGUUUCACCGUGUUAACCUGGAUGGUCUUCAACUCCUGACCUCAAGUAAUCUGCCCGCCUCGGCCUCCCAAAGUGCUGGGAUUACAGGCGUGAGCCACCGCGCCUGGCAGACUGAACCUAUCCAGAAUUGUGAUUCAUAACUCACCAGAUCCUGUGGCCCUCCAUCCAGGGGUACACUCAGCACAUGAGGACGCCUGUGAUUCUGCCCCUAUGAGUUCAUCCCCAACCAGUCAGCAAUACCCAAUCCCUAACCCCCUGCCCACCAAAUUGUCUGGGAGACUAAUUUGAGUGAUAACUCCAGUUCUCUUGUGUGGGCCAGCCAUGUAUCAAUAAAACUCUUUCUCUACUGCAA